UGCCUCGUUUUUCAGCAAAUAGACACAACUCACCGUGUGUCGGAAUUGAACAACGUGGCUAGAACAGCAACAGGUUGUGCUUUCCUCACUGUAAAGCUCAUUGCAGUGGUGACAAUGAGGCCUGUAACAGGC
ensembl:snoRNA small nucleolar RNA, H/ACA box 1